rnacentral:rRNA from 1 species
AAUCUAGCGGAAGUUUUCGGAUGGAAGUUAAAUUGACUGAGUGGCGGACGGGUGAGUAACGCGUGGGUAACCUGCCUCACACUGGGGGACAACAGUUAGAAAUGACUGCUAAUACCGCAUAAGCGCACAGGACCGCAUGGUGCAGGGGUAAAAACUCCGGUGGUAUGAGAUGGACCCGCGUCUGAUUAGUUAGUUGGUGGGGUAACGGCCUACCAAGGCGACGAUCAGUAGCCGACCUGAGAGGGUGACCGGCCACAUUGGAACUGAGACACGGUCCAUACUCC